rnacentral:ncRNA from 1 species
UUUCAAACGAUGAAGGGAUUACAGUGGAUACCUAGGCACCUAGAGAUGAGGAAGGGUGUGGUAAGAGAAAAAAUUAUUUGGAGAUUUGAAAAUGAGCAUAGAUCUGGAUAUUCCUGAAUAGGUUAACCUUUUUAACUAUUGUUGAAUCCAUGGGUAGGCAAGAGACAACCUAGCGAACUGAAACAUCUUAGUAGCCAGAGGAAUAGAAAGAAAAAGUGAUUCCCAUAGUAGCGGUGAGCGAAAUGGGAGUAGACUAAAAUGUGAAAAUGGGGUUGUGGUAGAGCACAAUAUAAGCUCUGUGUUACUAGGGGAAUUAGUUGAGUCCUACACCCUAGAUGGUGAGAGUCCAGUAUCCAAAAGCAUCAUUGUCUUAUGCUCUAACCUGAGUAUCAUGGGGCACAUGGAAUCCCAUGUGAAUCAAAAAAGACCACCUUGCAAGGCUAAAUACUCUUGGGUGAUUGAUAGCGAAGUAGUACCGUUAGGAAAAGGUGAAAAAAAACCCCAUCGGGUAGUGAAAUAGAACAUGAAACCAUAAGAUCCCAAGCAGUGGAAGGAAAAUUAUAUCUUUCACUGUGUGCGUAUUGAAGAAUGAGUCAGCGACUUAUAGGCAGUGGCUUGGUUAAUAGAACACACUAGAGCCAUAGCGAGAGCGAUUCUUCAUAGGGAAAUUUUCACUUCUUAUGGACCCGAACCUGGGUGAUCUAUCCAUGACCAUGAUGAAGCUUUGGUGAAACUAAGUGGAGGUUCGAACCGACUCAUGUUGAAAAAUAAGCGGAUGAUUUGUGGUUAGGGGUGAAACACCACUCGAACCUAGAGCUAGUUGGUUCUCCCUGAAAUGCAUUGAGGCACAGUAGUUGAUUGGGCCAUCUAGGGGUAAAGCAUUGUUUCAGUACAGACCGCAAGAACAGUACCAAAUAGAGGAAAAAUAUGAAUAAUAGAUUGCCCAAAUAAAAGGAGUAAAGGUUAGCAAGUGAGACGAUGGGGAAUAAGCUUCAUCUUUGAGAGGGGAACAACCUAGAGAAUCACUAAGGCCCCUAAAUGACCGCUCGGUCAUGAAGGAAGUACGAGUGCAAAGACAACCAAGAGGUUUGCCUAGAAGCAGCCAACCUUGAAAGAGUGCAUAAUAGCUCAUUGAUUGAGCACUCUUGCGUCGAAGAUGAAUGGGACUAAGAGAUAUGUCGAAGUUGUGGGAUGUAAAAAUACAUCGGUAGGGGAGUGUUCUACCUCAGAGGGAAGCACCGACGCGAGAAGAUGUGGACGAAGCGGAAGCGAGAAUGUCAGCUUGAGUAACGCAAACAUUGGUGAGAAUACAAUUCCCCAAAAACCUAAGGGUUCUUCCGCAAGGUUCAUUCAAUAAUAUUAACCCCAUUGGAAUAGAAAAGAUUACUGUGGUCCAAUUUGUUAUGGAACAUCAAAUUUGAACUUGCUUUAUUGUCCCUUCUCCCCAUGAAAAAAAGGGGGUAUUUAAUCA